AGAGUUUGAUCCUGGCUCAGAUGGAAGGCUAGCUACAGGCUUAACACAUGCAAGUCGAGGGGCAGCAUGGCGGAAGCUUGCUUCUGCUGAUGGCGACCGGCGCACGGGUGAGUAACGCGUAUCCAACCUUCCCCCUAGCAGGGCAUAGCCCGUAGAAAUGCGGAUUAACACCCUAUGUUGUGUUUUGAGGACAUCUGACGAACACUAAAGGUUUCACGCUAGGGGAUGGGGAUGCGUCCGAUUAGCUUGACGGCGGGGUAACGGCCCACCGUGGCCACGAUCGGUAGGGGUUCUGAGAGGAAGGUCCCCCACACUGGAACUGAGACACGGUCCAGACUCCUACGGGAGGCAGCAGUGAGGAAUAUUGGUCAAUGGGCGGGAGCCUGAACCAGCCAAGUAGCGUGGAGGAUGACGGCCCUACGGGUUGUAAACUCCUUUUAUGCGGGGAUAAAGUGCAACACGUGUGCUGUUUUGCAGGUACCGCAUGAAUAAGGACCGGCUAAUUCCGUGCCAGCAGCCGCGGUAAUACGGAAGGUCCGGGCGUUAUCCGGAUUUAUUGGGUUUAAAGGGAGCGCAGACGGCCUGUUAAGCGUGCAGUGAAAUGCGGGUGCUCAACAUCUGCACUGCUGCGUGAACUGGCGGGCUUGAGUUGUCUGGAGGUGCGCGGAAUUCGUGGUGUAGCGGUGAAAUGCUUAGAUAUCACGAAGAACCCCGAUUGCGAAGGCAGCGCACCGUGGACAUUACUGACGUUGAGGCUCGAAGGUGCGGGUAUCGAACAGGAUUAGAUACCCUGGUAGUCCGCACGGUAAACGAUGGAUGCCCGCUGUAUGCGAUACAUUGUAUGCGGCCAAGCGAAAGCGUUAAGCAUCCCACCUGGGGAGUACGCCGGCAACGGUGAAACUCAAAGGAAUUGACGGGGGCCCGCACAAGCGGAGGAACAUGUGGUUUAAUUCGAUGAUACGCGAGGAACCUUACCCGGGCUUGAACUGCACAGGAAGGCGGCAGAGAUGCCAACGCCCUUCGGGGCCUGUGUGGAGGUGCUGCAUGGUUGUCGUCAGCUCGUGCCCUGAGGUGUCGGCUUAAGUGCCAUAACGAGCGCAAAAAAAUAUCUUUAAUUGCUAACAUUAAGUUGAGAACCUUAAAGAGACUGCCGGUGAUAAACCGGAGGAAGGUGGGGAUGACGUCAAAUCAUCAUGCCCCUUACGUCCAGGGCUACAGGCGUGCUAUAAUGGCUGGUAUAAAAAGAAGCGAAAUGGUGACAUGGAGCAAACCUCAAAAGCCAGUCUCAGUCCGGAUUGAAGUCUGCAACUCGACUUCAUGAAGUUAGAAUCGCUAGUAAUCCCGAAUCAGAAUGUCGGGGUGAAUACGUUCCCGGGUGUUGUACACACCGCCCGUCACGCCAUGGGAGUUGGUAAUACCCGAAGCUGGUAGCCUAACCUGUUUACAGGAGGGGGCCAUCGAAGGUAGGAUCAGCGACUGGGGUGAAGUCGUAACAAGGUAACC
rnacentral:rRNA from 1 species